UGAGCAAUCUGCCCUUCUCAUCGGAAUAAGCGUUGGAAACGACGUCUAAUGCCGAAUACGACCUCCUUUCGCAUGAUCGGAGGUGGAAAGCUCCGGCGGAGAAGGAUGAGCUCGCGGCCUAUCAGCUAGUUGGUGUGGGUAAUGGCCCACCAAGGCGACGACGGGUAGCCGGCCUGGAGGAGGGGUGUCCCGGCCACACGUGGGACUGAGACACCGGCCCAGACCUCCGUACGGGAGCAG
rnacentral:rRNA from 1 species